UGCACCAUUUACAUCCCCACCAGCAAGGCACCAGGGGUCCCAUUUCUCCACAUCUUUGCCAACCCUUCAAAUGACUCCACACGAUCUCAUUCAAUCCCUCUGGUAACCCAGUGAAGCGGACGACAUCACGCCAUCUCACAGAGGAGGAAAGGAAGAAGCAACACUCUUGUAUGCAUGCAUCAUUAGCUUAACAAAUGUUUACUGAGCAUCUACUAUAUGCUGGGAAAUCGGGACACAGCAAUAAAGGCAACACCAUUCCUGCCUUCAAGGAGCUGAUAGCCCUGUGGAGAGGAGAUCUGCUGAAUUCGACUACAGAUGAGGCUACAUGGUACACAGUAGCAGCCUUGCUCAGUGGAGGUGCCCAGUGCAGCCAGAGGGCCAUCGGAGAAGGCUCCUGGAGGAUGGGGAGUCAGCUGGACCUCACGCAGUGCACAUUCAAGAACGUUCCUUCACAAAUGGUCUUGGCUCAGCUCUUAACCUCUAUAUUUCUUCUCGAUUGUAUUUCUUACCAGGAUCUCACUCUUUUCUGUUUGUUUCUGUGUGUUUUAUGAAAACGUUUUUAUAACUUGUUAUGAUACCCCCUGGCCUCCGUAGGGAAUAAAUUGUUAUCUUUGACUACUC